AGGAGUUGGAGGGUAUUUGGCUGUGGCCCAGAACCACCAAGUCCCUUUUCCUGCAACCGCUAUCCAGGAGUGGGAAAAUAGCCCUCAGGUCUUACCAAAGUUUCUGGAUCCGGACAGUGGCUCGCUCCCUGGAGCAGGAUUCGAAUUGUACUUCAGGUGCAGGCUCUGAAAUCUAUUCGCCCUCCGUUCCCUGCCGCUGCUGCUGCCCAUGGAAGUCCGGGCCUGGCCGGUUCUCCUCUGUUUCGUUUUCCCGGCGGACUCCGCCUUCCCACACUGCUCUGGGCCCCUCCCGCACCGGCUCGCACCCGCGAGAAGUCAGGUAGGCGUGUCGCCUCUGUACCCCAGCGCGGGAGCCAAGGUCCGGGCCCGCCUCCCCUCUCCUGUGCAACUGCAGUAACUGCCAGCUUCUCCAGGUUUCGGACACUUCCUGGCUUCCAUUCUGGGAAAGCUCUGCAGGAAGAAGAAGGAGAAACCCAAGCCUCCUGCUCCUGGAUCAAUGAUCACAAUCUACUUUUCAAAACAAACUUUGAGGAAGCAACUGGGCACAUGGAUGCUACCGAAUUCCGAUGUGCAGUGGGAGAUACUGAGUAACUCGCCUCUCAGAGGGUCCAGCCAAGCUAUGUCUGUGACAAUUGAAGUCCAGGUCUUCAUAUAAUAUGAACUUAACAUUUUCAUCAUCAAUAUGUUUGUUCCAAUUAAUUGCAAAAUCAAAGUAACUUCCCCAAGAAACUAAAAAGCACAGGAGAAAAAAAAAGUAAGACACUGUUCAUAACUGAGGAAAACAGAUAUCACACAUAUGGGUAAAUGAUCAAGAGAGGUAGUGUGUAUUACAAGUCUGUCUCCAGGAGGUGGAAUACACCUGCCUCACUGUCCAUACCCACCCGUGUCUUACUUCCUCGAACAUUUGCCAUUAGUGAUACAACUGAGCAAGCUCUAAGAUUCCUCAGAGAUAACUCGAUAACUCAGAAAGAGGGAACAGGCCUGAGCUUCCUUUCUGUUGUUGUGAUAGAAUAUUCUGACGCAAGCAACUUCAGCAGAGAGUUUGCUUCACUUUGCAAUUCAAGAUCACGUCCACCCUUGUGGGGAAGUCAUCAUGGCAGGAGCUUGGUCGGCCAAUCGUGGUGUCCCUAAUGUCUUCGUUUGCCUCUGUGUGUUGGAUUUCGGAAUUUUGCAAGGAAAAAAAUCCUGUCCAAGUUAUGACUGUCACAUCUUGUUGCUUAUCAGGAGCGGUGUCACAUAUGUAUGGAGUGGUGUCACAUAUGUAUGGAGUGGUGUCACAUAUGUAUGGAGCGGUGUCACAUAUGUAUGGAGCGGUGUCACAUAUGUAUGGAGUGGUGUCACAUAUGUAUGGAGUGGUGUCACAUAUGUAUGGAGCGGUGUCACAUAUGUAUGGAGCGGUGUCACAUAUGUAUGGAGCGGUGCCACAUAUGUAUGGAGCGGCGUUACAGAUUUGCCCUGCCUGACUCUACAAAGUGUUUCUAGACAACAGAAGCAGGCUGACUGGUGCUGCACAGUAAUGCAUCUCCUUGUGAGCUUUCCUUGCUGCUAUGACUCGAUCCAAUAUUUAUCUUUUCCAGGGAGCUGGUACCGUAUGUAGUGUCCAUGUACUCGGAAUGCUGUGGGAUUUGCUAUAUCAAAUACCCUUUAGACUGGCCUUCACAGAUUGUGGUAUAUAGAUAGAACAUGGAAUAUUCAAAUAGUGAUGCUGGCAUCCAUGGCAUAAAUGAAUUGGGAGGCAUCAUGUAGGCAAAUAUAUGGCAGAAAGCAAAAUAUUGGUCUCAUCUACAUGUUGGAUCUUUUUAAAGGUUGAGUAACACAGAAAGCAGGAUGGUGCCAGGGAUGCGAAGGAAGGCAAUUACAACUCUGAUGUAACUUUGGAGCGCUGAGUUGUGAAUAAGUCUAGUAAGCUAAUGUACAGCCUAAGGAUUAGAGUUAUGAAUCCAGUGUUGCAUAAUGAAGUAGUGUUUGCUAAGGGACCAGCAAACAUAUACUACUCUUUCUCUAUACACAACAAAGCAGCUGUGUGACAUGAUGGCUUGACUUCAGUAGUCAUUUCACAUGUGUAUGUGUAGCAAAACACAGUGUCCAUGUUAAACAUCAUUUUAAAAAAUAGAUUGAGAG
ensembl:lincRNA Gm26637 predicted gene, 26637